AGUCAUAUGCUUGUCUCAAAGAUUAAGCCAUGCAUGUCUCAGAAUAUGCUCCUUUGAACUAAUCUGCAAAUGGCUCAUUAAAACAGCUUUGAUCUUGUGAUUUGUCUUUAUCUGGAUAUCUUUGGUAAUUCUAAAGCUAAUACGUGCAGUAAAUCCCUACUUUUUGGACGGGGUUCGCUUGUUGGCUUCGGAACUAAAUCUUGACUUUGUCAUGCAUUUUGGUGAAUAAAAUCAAAGACAUGAUUCAAUCCUUUGGAUAUAUUUUUUGAAUUUCUGACCUAUCAGCUGUGGACAGUAAGAUAUUUGCUUCCUGUGGCUAUGACGGGUGACGGGGAAUUAG
rnacentral:rRNA from 1 species